rnacentral:rRNA from 1 species
UGCUUUUGAUGGGCGUCGACCGGCGCACGGGUGAGUAACGCGUAUCCAACCUGCCCAUCACUUGGGGAUAACCUUGCGAAAGUAAGACUAAUACCCAAUGACGUCUCUAGAAGACAUCUGAAAGAGAUUAAAGAUUUAUCGGUGAUGGAUGGGGAUGCGUCUGAUUAGCUUGUUGGCGGGGUAACGGCCCACCAAGGCGACGAUCAGUAGGGGUUCUGAGAGGAAGGUCCCCCACAUUGGAACUGAGACACGGUCCAAACUCCUACGGGAGGCAGCAGUGAGGAAUAUUGGUCAAUGGACGAGAGUCUGAACCAGCCAAGUAGCGUGCAGGAUGACGGCCCUAUGGGUUGUAAACUGCUUUUAUAAGGGAAUAAAGUUAGUCUCGUGAGACUUUUUGCACGUACCUUAUGAAUAAGGACCGGCUAAUUCCGUGCCAGCAGCCGCGGUAAUACGGAAGGUCCGGGCGUUAUCCGGAUUUAUUGGGUUUAAAGGGAGCGUAGGCCGGAGAUUAAGCGUGUUGUGAAAUGUAGACGCUCAACGUCUGCACUGCAGCGCGAACUGGUUUCCUUGAGUACGCACAAAGUGGGCGGAAUUCGUGGUGUAGCGGUGAAAUGCUUAGAUAUCACGAAGAACUCCGAUUGCGAAGGCAGCUCACUGGAGCGCAACUGACGCUGAAGCUCGAAAGUGCGGGUAUCGAACAGGAUUAGAUACCCUGGUAGUCCGCACGGUAAACGAUGGAUGCCCGCUGUUGGUCUGAAUAGGUCAGCGGCCAAGCGAAAGCAUUAAGCAUCCCACCUGGGGAGUACGCCGGCAACGGUGAAACUCAAAGGAAUUGACGGGGGCCC